rnacentral:lncRNA from 13 species
UUCCAUAAGCAAUUAGAAACUUACCAUCAGAUAGUAAAAAUACAUGAAAGUAAUUUACUUUUAGGUAACAGGAUAUUUUACAACCUUAAGUAAAUAUUGUUAAGCAUGGGUCAAAGUAUUGAUUCCUAACAUUAAGCUUUGCCCUUAUCAGGAAUGUUUACAGGACAGGCAAAGCAAGGCAGUCCUCUGAGCCCCGUGAUUUUGUGUGGCUUCCCAGACUCCAGUAUUUCAGCCAGACCCAUUAGUGCGUGAUUAAAAUCAAACAAACAAAUAAAACAAAAAGCCAUCAGAGAGGCAGAGAAGAGAAGCAAUCCACCCAAGACCCACCAGUGAAUAAGCUGCAGAGGUGGAGGUUUUUCGUCUUCCAUUGCAGUGGAACUUCCUUUGCGCACGAUGCAACCCACAGGGGUUUUCACAGGCCAACAUAUGAAAAAUUCCAGCUCUUCCAAGAAUCAUGUGCGUCAUCCAAGCUAGCCUGCUAAGUGAUGAAAAAGAUGUGGCCUAGUGAUCCACAUCACCCUCAACCAGUAGCCCAUCAAUGCCCCUUUAGCUCAUUUACAAGUGACCACAGACAAGAGUGAGGCCAGCCAAGACCAGAAAAACUGCCCAUCUAAGCCCAGUUCAGAUCAACAGCCUGUAGAACUGUAAGCUAAGUAAAUGGUUCUUAUUAUAGGCCACAAAGUUUUGAAGUGGCUUGUUAUGUGGUAAAAGAUAACUGAGAGAACACAUAAUUCUGGGAAUUAAAUCCAUUACUGCUUAAAAUAGCAAGAGUGGUUUCUGUUGCCUGUAGUUGAGCCUUGUCUACGAUACACUUAAAUUCAGCAUUUCCAAAAUGAAGCUCCUCCCUAUUCCCUGACUGAAGCCUGGUUCCCUUCUGGUGUGUUUGCAUCGAGUCAUCUGCA